GUCCCUGAUGACAUGCAGGUCACGUUUGGACGGACGCUAAUACCCGAUGUGCCUUAGGGUGAAAGAUUUAUCGCCUGUAGAUGAGCUCGCGUCCGAUUAGCUAGUUGGUGGGGUAGAGGCCUACCAAGGCGAUGAUCGGUAGCUGGUCUGAGAGGAUGAUCAGCCACACUGGGACUGAGACACGGCCCAGACUCCUACGGGAGGCAGCAGUGGGGAAUUUUCCGCAAUGGGCGCAAGCCUGACGGAGCAAGACCGCGUGGGGGACGAAGGUUUGUGGAUUGUAAACCCCUUUUGAUUGGGAAGAUGAUGACGGUACCAAUCGAAUCAGCAUCGGCUAACUCCGUGCCAGCAGCCGCGGUAAUACGGAGGAUGCAAGCGUUAUCCGGAAUUAUUGGGCGUAAAGCGUCCGCAGGUGGUUAAUCAAGUCUAUUGUUAAAGCGCGGAGCUAAACUUCGUAAGGGCGAUAGAAACUGGUUAACUAGAGUUUGGUAGGGGUAGAGGGAAUUCCCAGUGUAGCGGUGAAAUGCGUAGAUAUUGGGAAGAACACCGGUGGCGAAAGCGCUCUACUGGGCCUGAACUGACACUGAGGGACGAGAGCUAGGGGAGCGAAAAGGAUUAGAUACCCCUGUAGUCAAAAGGAU
rnacentral:rRNA from 1 species